GGAAGCGGACGGGUCCUGGUGGAUCCCCCGGACUUCAAAUCCGGUGUGGGAUGCGUCGAGCGUCCUGGGUGGGUUCGAUUCCCAUGCGCUUCCGCCA
rnacentral:tRNA from 1 species